ensembl:processed_transcript
UCCUCUGGCCCAGGUGACUCUUACCUCACAGUAACCCUCUGAUCACUGCCCGCAUGGCAGUGAGCUGACAGCCUGGGGAAAUGUGCCCCUUCCAGCAUGUGCCCAGUGUGAUGAGAGAAGCCAGGAGCAGGCAGCUUUCUGGCAGGCUGGGCUCUCCGGGUGGCCCUGCCUCCUCGCUGCAGCUGCAUCUCACCCCUUGCCUGAUGCGCUGCUAUUCACUGGGGUCGAAGAUGGGGCAAGGGGGAAGUUGGGGCCGUAGAUCCUUCAGCCCAGGAGACCCCUUCAAGUCUGUGCUAUAUGUGUCCUGUGUUCUCUCCCCAUCUCUGACUGAGGUAGAUCCUUCGUACCUACAAUGUCCUGGACAUGAAGAACACCACGUGCCAGGACCUUCAGAUAGAAGUGACGGUCACAGGCUCUGUGGAAUAUACAAGGGAUGCCAUUGAAGACUACGAAGAGGACUAUGACAUGCCAGCUGCAGAUGACCCCAGCGUCCCCUCACAGCCUGUGACUCCCCUGCAGCUGUUUGAGGGUCGUCGGAGCCGCCGCAGGAGGGAGGCCCCCAAGGUGGCCGAAGAGCAGGAGUCCAGAGUUCAGUACACAGUGUGUAUCUGGCGCAGUGGCAAGCUGGGGCUGUCUGGCAUGGCCAUCGCAGACAUCACCCUCCUGAGUGGAUUCCACGCCCUGAGGGCUGACCUGGAGAAG